rnacentral:rRNA from 1 species
AGGGUUCGAUUCUGGCUCAGGAUGAACGCUGGCGGCGUGCCUAACACAUGCAAGUCGAACGGAAACUAGACGCUUCGGAGGCUUCGGCCAAUGUUUGUUAGUUUAGUGGCGGACGGGUGAGUAACGCGUGGAUAACCUGCCUCAUACAGGGGGAUAACAGUUAGAAAUGACUGCUAAUACCGCAUAAGCGCACGGGAUCGCAUGUUCCUGUGUGAAAAACUCCGGUGGUAUGAGAUGGAUCCGCGUCUGAUUAGCUAGUUGGCGGGGUAACAGCCCACCAAGGCAACGAUCAGUAGCCGGCCUGAGAGGGUGAACGGCCACAUUGGGACUGAGACACGGCCCAAACUCCUACGGGAGGCAGCAGUGGGGGAUAUUGCACAAUGGGGGAAACCCUGAUGCAGCGAACCGCCGCGUGAGUGAAGAAGUAUUUCGGUAUGUAAAGCUCUAUCAGCAGGGAAGAUAAUGACGGUACCUGACUAAGAAGCACCGGCUAAAUACGUGCCAGCAGCUGC